rnacentral:rRNA from 1 species
GAUGAACGCUAGCGGGAGGCUUAACACAUGCAAGUCGAGGGGCAUCACGAGGUAGCAAUACUUUGGUGGCGACCGGCGCACGGGUGAGUAACGCGUAUGCAACCUACCCUGUACAGGGGGAUAGCCCGGAGAAAUUCGGAUUAAUACCCCAUAAAGAUAUCGAGAGGCAUCUUUUGAUAUUUAAAGUUUCGACGGUACGGGAUGGGCAUGCGUAACAUUAGCUAGUUGGUAGGGUAACGGCCUACCAAGGCGACGAUGUUUAGGGGUCCUGAGAGGGUGAUCCCCCACACGGGUACUGAGACACGGACCAGACUCCUACGGGAGGCAGCAGUGAGGAAUAUUGGUCAAUGGGCGUAAGACUGAACCAGCCAUCCCGCGUGAAGGAAGAAGGCGCUAUGCGUUGUAAACUUCUUUUCCAGAGGAAUAAAAUUUUGUACGAGUACGGAACUGAAGGUACUCUGGGAAUAAGCAUCGGCUAACUCCGUGCCAGCAGCCGCCGUAAAAC